GUUCGUUCUUGAAGCAGGAGGCAGAGGAGAAAAUGAGAGAAAGAAGAGGGAGUGCGGCCGCAACGAAGGAAAUUAAGAGAUGAGGGAAAAUUAAGGAAUUUUAGAAGUUAUUUUGUGUCUAAAAUAUUCCGUAAGAGCUCCAUAAAGGCAAGAAUCGGCUAAGUAAAGGCAAGAGUAUCAUGAGAUCACAGGCGCGUUCGACAAAGUUGGGUCCAGAUCGUCGAGUCAUGAUAGCAAGUGCAGAGUCCUCCUGAAACUAGGUCCUAGGUAUCAUUGUGCUUGUGUUAGAAUAAUGUUUUAUAAUUUUGAGAUGGAUAUAUAUUAUGUAAGCCAGGUGGUCUCACAGUAUGAAUGUUUAUGCAAGAAUGUUUAUGAGAUGCUAUGUGAUUAAAAAGGUAUGGUUUUAAUAAGGGUGGUGUCUGAGUUUUUAGUUUGUGUUAUUGUUCUAAAUCACUCAAGUAAUGACCCUCUCACGAAUUCUCUAUAUUAGCGUUGGCUCCGG